rnacentral:rRNA from 1 species
CACGUAGGGGGCGAGCGUUGUUCGGAAUUACUGGGCGUAAAGGGCAUGUAGGCGGCUCUGUAAGUCCGGCGUGGAAGCCUGCAGCUUAACUGCAGGAUUGCGCUGGAAACUGCGGGGCUUGAAUCAUGGAGAGGGAGCUAGAAUUCCAGGUGUAGGGGUGAAAUCUGUAGAGAUCUGGAAGAAUACCAGUGGCGAAGGCGAGCUCCUGGCCAAUGAUUGACGCUGAGGUGCGAAAGUGUGGGGAU